GGGGUUGUGGCUCAGUGGUAGAGCUUGCCUAACAUGUGUAAGGCACUGGGUUCAAGUCUCAGCACCUCA
rnacentral:tRNA from 1 species